rnacentral:lncRNA from 1 species
GUCCAAUACUAUUAAUUCUUUUCCAACCCAAAUCAUUAAAUUAGGGUUUUCAUUUUCCUCAAUUAUAACUUAAAUCCUUACUCAUGCACAUUUAUUUCCUUAACCCAAUUAGACUUGCUAAAAUUAGGUUAUAAAAUUAAUUAACUGAGAUGUAUAAAAUAAAUCUCUUAGAGUUAGUAUAUAUCUAAAUACUAUUAUUUUCCCCAACUCAUAACUCUUAACUUAUUCAAUCA